rnacentral:rRNA from 1 species
UAGGGAAUCUUCCACAAUGGACGCAAGUCUGAUGGAGCAACGCCGCGUGAGUGAAGAAGGUUUUCGGACCGUAAAGCUCUGUUGUUGGUGAAGAAGGAUAGAGGUAGUAACUGGCCUUUAUUUGACGGUAAUCAACCAGAAAGUCACGGCUAACUACGUGCCAGCAGCCGCGGUAAUACGUAGGUGGCAAGCGUUGUCCGGAUUUAUUGGGCGUAAAGCGAGCGCAGGCGGAAGAAUAAGUCUGAUGUGAAAGCCCUCGGCUUAACCGAGGAAUUGCAUCGGAAACUGUUUUCUUGAGUGCAGAAGGGGAGAGUAGAACUCCAUGUGUAGCGGUGGAAUGCGUAGAUAUAUGGAAGAAUACCAGUGGCGAAGGCGGCUCUCUGGUCUGCAACUGACGCUGAGGCUCGAAAGCAUGGGUAGCGAACAGGAUUAGAUACCCUGGUAGUCCAUGCCGUAAACGAUGAGUGCUAAGUGUUGGGAGGCUUCCGCCUCUCAGUGCUGCAGCUAACGCAUUAAGCACUCCGCCUGGGGGAGUACGACCGCAAGGUUGAAAC